rnacentral:rRNA from 1 species
UACGUAGGGGGCAAGCGUUGUCCGGAAUUAUUGGGCGUAAAGAGCGUGUAGGCGGUCCGGUAAGUCAGCUGUGAAAGUCAAGGGCUCAACCCUUGAAUGCCGGUUGAUACUGUCGGGCUAGAGUCCGGAAGAGGCGAGUGGAAUUCCCGGUGUAGUGGUGAAAUGCGUAGAUAUCGGGAGGAACACCAGUGGCGAAGGCGACUUCCUGGCCUGUUCUUGACGCUGAGGCGCGAAAGCUAGGGUAGCAAACGGG